UAAAAGUUUUAUUUUAACUUAAAAAUUAGGUAUUAUUUUUUAUUAUAUGUGAAUUAUUUUAUAGAAGAAUUUUACAGUGAUUAAAAUUAUAUAUUAAAGAAAUUUAGAUUUAGAAAUAAUAAGUAUUAUUAACAAAAUUUGUGCCAGCAGUUGCGGUUAUACAAAUAAUAUAAUUUAAUUUUAUUAAUAAAAAUUAAUUGUAAAUAGUAAUUUUAAUAUAGAAUUUAAUAAGUGAAAUUUUAAAUUUUAUUUAAAAAUUUAAGUUUGUUAAUGAAGUUUAAAAAUUUAAAUUAUAAACUAGGAUUAGAUACCCUAUUAUUUUAAAUGUAAUUAAAAAUAUUGAAUUAGUAAUAGUUAUGUUCUUGAAAAUUAAAAAUUUUGGCGGUAUUUUAGUCUUUUCAGAGGAACCUGUUCUGUAAAUGAUAAUCCACGAUUUAAUUUACUUAUAUUAUUAGUUUGUAUAUCAUCGUAAUUAAAUAUUUUAUUAAAAUUAUAAAUAUUUAGAAUUUAAUAUUAUAAAAUUUAUCAGAUCAAGGUGCAAUUUAUAUAUAAGAAGUAAUGGGUUACAAUAAAAAUAUUUUUGGAUAAUUUUUAUUAUUAAAAAUUUAAAUUUGGAUUUGAUAGUAAUUUUAAUAAAUUAAUUAAAAUGAUUUUAGCUCUAAAAUAUGUACAUAUCGCCCGUCGCUUUCAUUUAAUAUGAAAUAAGUCGUAACAAAGUAGAUUUACUGGAAAGUGAAUCUAGAAUA
rnacentral:ncRNA from 1 species